rnacentral:rRNA from 1 species
UACGUAGGUGGCAAGCGUUAUCCGGAAUUAUUGGGCGUAAAGAGCGCGCAGGCGGUCGUUCAAGUCGCGUGUGAAAGCCCCCGGCUCAACUGGGGAGGGUCACGCGAUACUGAUCGACUCGAAGGCAGGAGAGGGUAGUGGAAUUCCCGGUGUAGUGGUGAAAUGCGUAGAUAUCGGGAGGAACACCAGUGGCGAAGGCGACUACCUGGCCUGUUCUUGACGCUGAGGCGCGAAAGCGUGGGGAGCAAAAGGG